GUUGAUUCUCGUUUCCAUACAAAAAUUUUGAAAAUGUGGUUCAAUGAUUACUAGCGCCUGUGGAAGAAAGUGGUAAAUAGAACUAAGUUAGCGUAGCGACAUCUUCCGUCAGAUUGCUUGAACUACCAUUUUUGUCCAUAGAAACUACGGCCAUCUACAUUUUUUUACUUUAAAAAUCAGUAGCAUCUGUCUUUUUUGAAGUCUACUUUUUGACGCAUUGGAAGAAUUCUUUGAGUUUCAUAAAAAAAAAUUAUCUUAAAGUUUUGUGCAGAAAAAAAUAUCGAAAUAAAAUAAUUGAAUCAUGUUGGAAAAAGAUACAAAUUUAUCACAUUGGAAUCGAUUUGGAUAGCAGCUAGUUCACAUUUCCUUCCGGCUGCAUCGAUCAUUUGCCCUCCGCGUUAAGAAAAACAACAAGACUAGGUUUUUAAAAAUGAAAUGGUGAUUCAAAUGCAUUGCCGGCGGAAUGCAUGUAUCCUUUUUGUGUCCUUCCUGCUGGUGCUGAAAGCAACCUCAGCCACAGCUUACAAUCAAUCAAUUUCAAUACCAGCUAUAAAAAUUAAGGACUGUGGGCAUCUACCGUGCCUUUGAUCCACUUGUUCAGUUUCAUCAGCCCAACAGCAGAGAUCCAAUUGCUACUACACCAGUACAUUAAAUUCAAAGUAACAAUGCCAUCGAAACCAAAAGCAGCACCCGCAGCCGUGUGCCUUUGGAAUUGGAGCAAGUGACAUGGCAAUGUGGACGUGUGAUUUCACCAUUGAGCCACCAUAUCCGAAUUUACUCUUUCCAGAGAACUGGUGCCACCUAUUCUUCAACAUCAUGCUGAUUGGAUUAGUGAAACUUUAAACUUUUUCUCAGUGGCAUCUGGGAAUUUGUAUGAGCAAAUUCUUCGCAUAAUAAUAGUUUCUUUUUGUUACAAUCCCAAUGACAAUCAAGCAGCUUACAAGGAUUUUCAUAAACAAGUUUGUUGCACUGGACAUUUACUUUGGAUUAGAGAAUUUUUAAAAUAUGAUGUAAUGUUGUCAACCUUAGCACUUCCAUCCACAUUUAUCGUAAUGAUAUGAGAUUGUUAACUUCUCGAAUGAAACAAAAGGAAGGUUCUUAAUACCCCGGUGAACUUCAUAGCCGAAUUGGCAGUUACCAUAAAAGCCACCGACAAGGUCGUCAACAAGGAUGCUGAUGGAAGUAGUAAAGUGGAUACUAUCAAAAAUAACCAAAGAUAAAUUGCAACAAGAAUUAGAAUAGAGAUUGGAGAACAGACUCAAGAUGAAUUACGGAUAUAAACAGCGUCGCAAUGCAACCAAAGGACACCAAACCAUUCUAUGCGUUUUUGAACGUUCAAAAUUACUUGAGAGAGAAGAGCCGAGCUGAAUGGUUCACAAGAUGCCGUGAUAAGUGCAGACUCGAGAUAAGACUACAUUCAUAAUUUGAAUAUAUGGAAACAAUUGAGGAUUUGGGAAAAGCUAUCAACACAUUUGGGGGUUGGGUGAUUUUAGAUUCUCAGAACGAAAGAUUAAUGUAUGCAUGCGGCAAUCGAACUGCGAAAGUGAUUGAAGAAGGGUUGAAAGAAUAUAAACGCUAUGUGUAUAGAUUGAAGAAAAUAGCAAAAGCAUUAAUGAUUUUAUUUUAGCUCAGGAAAGCAAAUUCACAUAAAACGAAAUUUAUGUUAUUAGAUUGUUAACAUUGUAAAUGAAAUCAAUAUCUAUAUAAAAUUAAUAAAAGUCGUAUAUAAAAUA